rnacentral:rRNA from 1 species
AACGAACGCUGGCGGCAUGCCUAACACAUGCAAGUCGAACGAGACCUUCGGGUCUAGAGGCGCACGGGUGCGUAACGCGUGGGAACCUGCCCUUAGGUUCGGAAUAACUUCCCGAAAGGGGUGCUAAUACCGGAUAAUGUCUACGGACCAAAGAUUUAUCGCCUUUGGUUGGGCCCGCGUUGGAUUAGCUAGUUGGUAGGGUAAAAGCCUACCAAGGCGACAAUCCAUAGCUGGUCUGAGAGGAUGAUCAGCCACACUGGGACUGAGACACGGCCCAGACUCCUACGGGAAGCAGCAGUGGGGAAUAUUGGACAAUGGGCGAAAGCCUGAUCCAGCAAUGCCGCGUGAGUGAUGAAGGCCUUAGGGUUGUAAAGCUCUUUUACCCGGGAUGAUAAUGACAGUACCGUGAGAAUAAGCUCCGGCUAACUCCGUG